rnacentral:pre_miRNA from 1 species
AAAGUACUCCCUCCGUCCCAAAAUUCUUGUCUUAGAUUUGUCUAGAUACGGAUGUAUCAAGUCACAUUUUAGUAUUAGAUACAUCUGUAUCUAGACAAAUCUAAGACAAGAAA